AGGCAGGGUGUGAGCGUGAGCAU
rnacentral:miRNA from 1 species